rnacentral:tRNA from 1 species
AACUUGGUAGCCUAGUUGGUGAAGGCAGCACUUCUAGCCUAGUGGGCUAAGGUCGCUGGUUUAAAUCCUGCCCAAGUUG